rfam:TPA: Bos taurus chromosome 15, whole genome shotgun sequence.
UCCCUGGUGGUCCAGUGGCUAAGACUCUGCACUCCUAAUGCAGGAGGGCUGGGUUUGAUCCCUGGCCAGGGAA